rnacentral:rRNA from 1 species
GACAGAGGAUGCAAGCGUUAUCCGGAAUGAUUGGGCGUAAAGCGUCUGUAGGUGGCUUUUUAAGUCCGCCGUCAAAUCCCAGGGCUCAACCCUGGACAGGCGGUGGAAACUACCAAGCUGGAGUACGGUAGGGGAGACUGGAAUUCCUGGUGUAGCGGUGAAAAUGCGCAGAUAUCAGGAGGAACACCGGUGGCGAAGGCGGGUCUCUGGGCCGAUGACUGACGCUGGAGGAGCGAAAGCGUGGGGAGCGAACAGG